UGCGGAAUUUUAGAUAAUGGAGGGAACUCUGAUCUAGCGACGCCGCGUGCAGGAAGAAGGUCUUCGGAUUGUAAACUGCUGUGGUAAGGGAAAAAUGCUAUGUAGAGUGGAAAGCUACAUAGAGGGAUGGUACCUUACUAGAAAGCCCCGGCUAACUACGUGCCAGCAGCCGCGGUAAUACGGUANGGGGGUCGAGCGUUACCCGGAAUCACUGGGCGUAAAGGGAGCGUAGGUGGCCUAACAUGUCAACUGUGAAAACCCCGGAGCUCAACUCCGGACUUGCAGUUGAAACUGGUAGGCUUGAGGACGGUAGAGGAAGACGGAACUGCCAGUGUAGGGGUAAAAUCCUUAGAUAUUGGCAGGAACGCCGGUGACGAAGGUGGUUUUCUGGGCCGGUUUCUG
rnacentral:rRNA from 1 species